GAUGAACGCUGGCGGCGUGCCUAAUACAUGCAAGUCGAGCGAACAGACGAGGAGCUUGCUCCUCUGACGUUAGCGGCGGACGGGUGAGUAACACGUGGAUAACCUACCUAUAAGACUGGGAUAACUUCGGGAAACCGGAGCUAAUACCGGAUAAUAUAUUGAACCGCAUGGUUCAAUAGUGAAAGACGGCUUUGCUGUCACUUAUAGAUGGAUCCGCGCCGCAUUAGCUAGUUGGUAAGGUAACGGCUUACCAAGGCAACGAUGCGUAGCCGACCUGAGAGGGUGAUAGGCCACACUGGAACUGAGCCACGGUCCAGACUCCUACGGGAGGCAGCAGUAGGGAAUCGGCCGCAAUGGGCGAAAGCCUGACGGAGCAACGCCGCGUGAGUGAUGAAGGUCUUCGGAUCGUAAAACUCUGUUAUUAGGGAAGAACAAAUGUGUAAGUAACUAUGCACGUCUUGACGGUACCUAAUCAGAAAGCCACGGCUAACUACGUG
rnacentral:rRNA from 1 species